CCUACGGGUGGCAGCAGUAGGGAAUCUUUCACAAUGGGCGAAAGCCUGAUGGAGCAACGCCGCCUGCAGGAUGAAGGCCUUCGGGUUGUAAACUGCUUUUAUAAGCGAGAAAUAUGAUGGUAACUUAUGAAUAAGGAUCGGCUAACUACGUGCCAGCAGCCGCGGUCAUACGAAGGAUCCGAGCAUUAUCCGGAGUGACUGGGUGUAAAGAGUUGCGUAGGUGGCAUAAUAAGUAGCUAGUGAAAUCUGGUGGCUCAACCAUUCAGACUAUUAGCUAAACUGUUAAGCUCGAGACCGUUAGGGGUAACUGGAAUUUCUAGUGUAGGAGUGAAAUCCGUAGAUAUUAGAAGGAACACCAAUAGCGUAGGCAGGUUGCUGGGACGGUUCUGACACUAAGGCACGAAAGCGUAGGGAGCAAACGGGAUUAGAUACCCGAGUAGUC
rnacentral:rRNA from 1 species